ensembl:lncRNA
UGUGAUUUGAGAUAUGCUAAAACCCUCAGAAGAGGAACUUGGGGGUUUGGUGCGAGAGGAGUCAAUGGAGAACAAAUGCAACUUUUCUGCCUAAUCUCCUCUCUGAAUUGUUUUUGUAUUGCAUGCUUCAUUUAUAUCUAUGAGGGUGCACAUUGUGUAAUAUAUUUAAUUAAUGGCAUCUGUUAUGGAAAACUAGGCCAGACUAGUUGAUGGGAGAUGUCUAGUGCACAAAGACUGAUAUAAAACACUCAUACAGAACUUAGUUAUGCUCUCCCGAAAGGUUUAUGCGCUAUUCUACUGUUUUAUUGCACGUCUGAUCUCUUAUUCUGAUUCCCCUCCAGACGACCGCCAAGAAAAGGAAUCGUCUCGUACCUAGAGUUGGCGUUCGCAUUUGGAGAUUCAUGACAGGCCGCUGGUCGGUACAUUUGGAGAACGGCGCAGAAGACUGUUCGGAAGGCUGAUGGUGGCAUUACCUGCGUGCAAAUCACCUCAAGGUAGAAUCGAAAGAAAACAGAGCAGUGAUGACUCAUCCUGCACUACACAGAUUUUUUGUCCAAUCAGAUGCUCUCUCUUGAAGAAUGGCCCGCCCCCUUAGCCACAUACAACCGACUAGAAAUGGAGCAGUGAUGACUCAUCCAGCACUACAGAUUUUUGUCCAAUCAGAUGCUCUCUUGAAGGAGAACAUCCCGCCCCCUUAUGCUGCACACAACCGACUACUGGCCCAUCCCAAGAGUGUUGUGCAUUGUGCCGGACUGAAGAAAUCUCAUCACUGUAUUGAUACAUCACAAAAGCCAAGCACAAUCAUCAUCUGUGAAAGAUCCUCUGAGACCAAUUUAAACCCCAAAGAUUUUGACCAUAACAUUUAAAUCAGCAAAACGGUCUAAUUCAGUGUUGG